rnacentral:lncRNA from 1 species
CGGUGCCGUGGUGUCGUGCGUGCCUGGUGCGGUCUUGUGCAGCGUCACGUGCUGGUGCUUCUGGUGACCUUUGACCUGCACCCGCCGCUUGGCUUUGGAGGUGCUUCUCUGGGCUGAUCCUGCCUCCCCAUCCUGGCUCCACGGCGAGGCAGCCAGGCUCCCAGACGUGGUUCGGGCAGCCACUCGUAGGCACGUGAUGGGGCCGCUGGCGGUGCGGCGUCUGCCCCCAAGAGGCUGCUGCCCUGGCUCUGGCCACGUGGGGCUUGGCCACUCCUUGGGGUCACUGGUUGGCUUGUCUGGGGGCUCUGAACCCCUGAAAAAGCACAGCAGCGGGCUGGUGGAAAGACAAACCAUGCAGCCUGGAAGGGCUUAACCUCGUGGACAGCAGACUCUUCGUCCCAGAGUUUGACCCAGUGCGCCCGUGGGACAGGAGGAAGGAUGUGCUCGCAGCUUGUGGCGUCUGGACGGGCUGCUCUUGGCCCUGGACACGCUGUACCCAGGUUGGCCUGCAAUGGAGGUUUUGGUUGUUGACCCUGAAUCACUUAGUGGCUUCCUUGGCCUCCCUGCAGUCUGGCUUCGUCUACUGAGGGCCUGGGCAAGAGUGGUUCAUGUUGGUUGUAGCAGCAACCAACUGGAAUCACGUUGUAAGAAUCCCUAAAGCGAGGCCAGGCUAUGCCCUGUGCUGGACGGGGCAGGCGGGGCGGGGAGAGGCUUUCCCUUGCCGAGUGUGGGCCUCACCCAUGUCCUGCCUGCGCGGUGGUCGUCCAUCUCUGUGCACCCCUGCUGGGCUCUAGACCUGGAGAGAGGAGGGUUGGGGCGUGGGCGUAGGUGGACCAGAAAUCGCACGUCCUUGGUUUGGUUCACAGAAGCUUCUGGAGUUAGGGAGGCUCUGCUUCCUUUGGAGGUUUUGGAAUUUGGAGCAACUGUUUCUUGGGUCUCGGGGAGCAUCCUGCCUCCACCAAGCCAGCCUCGGGGCCGCUCGGCCCCUUCUCUCCCUGCCCUUGGUUCUUGACAGUAGAUCCUCUGUCCGUGUGUGACUGGUCGGUGUCUUUCUGGUUCUCGUUAAUUCAGUUUUCCUACUGUAAGCGUGUUGUGUUCUCUUUCUCUCCUCGACUUUUUGACGCAGCGAUUGAGGGCUUUGGCCGAGGCCGAGUCUCCCCACCUUGUCCGCUAAGUGAGCUGUAUCGUGCACCUUCCUUCACGCCUUUUGCCCUCGCCCGGCUCCUUCCUUCUCCCGACAUGGACACUCAGACUUGCAAGGAGAACCCUUGGGGAACAGGUCCUCUCCUGUCCCCAGCGUGGCCCCAGGGAGCCCACCCCAUGGCCCCUGGCUGCUGCUCCAGGCGGCGUGGCGUUUAUGCGGGCAAGAAGCUGCAGCUGCUCCUCGGCUGUGUGGCGGGCUGGUUGCUGCUGUGUGCGGGUCUCUCCGGAGGCUUUUCUACUCUUGGUCUGUGCCUCAGGUCUGGGCACAACCCUGACCGUCAGCAGCGGCCUUGAUAGUUGGUGCCCAGGCCCAUGGCUCUGAUCAGCUGCAGCGUGCUUUGGGACAGGUGGACAAAAUCCACGCAGUCCCUGCCGCCUCCCCCCUCUGGGGUCGAGAGUUGGCCAAAGCUCCAGUCCACAGCUGGAAGCCACAGCCUGCAGCACUGUUUCCGCUCUGGGAUCUUGUAAGUUACUUUUUUAGGCUGUGGUUUGGUGAAAGGAACCAACCCAUUAACGAUUUUUUUCCCCAGAAGCCACCGAAUAAUUCUUUUUGGCGCAUUUUCACCUUCCUCUUGGCUGUCUGGUUUUGGAGCAGAUGGGAAGAGGCAGGGGUGUGCCCUGGAGACGGAUGGCCUGCCCUGCUCUGGCCUGUGUGUCCUGAGCGUGUGCUCUACCUGUUGGGUCAGUUGCAUAUGUUUCCACCCCACCCUGGAGCAGCAGCCUUGGUACCGGGGUGUCCUUGGCGGGAGUCUGAGCUGGCGUGUAGGAGAGCCUGUCCGAGAUGAGUUGUGAGGGAGAUGCCUCUCAUGGCCUCGUGUCCCAGCCCCACCCUUCUCCCCAUCCCCUCAAUCUGCUAGUCCCUGAAGCCUUUAACCAAACGGGAGUGGGUAAAGAAAGCCUUCUCCUGGCAUCUUAGGGCGGCAGGACAAGGGCUGUCCAGUGUGUCCAGCUCUGCUGCUCUCCCGACGCAGCGAGGGUGGGCCAAGCAGAGUUGAUCAGCCCCUGCCUGCUCUGCUGAAGGCUGCGGACAGGAGGGGGUGGGGGUACCCUGGGGUCUGCGGGGGGCGGGCGGGGGUUGUUGAAGAUCCAGGUGAGGAGGGGCCUCGCUGGGGCACCCGGGCUGACCUGGGGCGGAGCGGCCUCGCGCCGUCCCUGCCCUGUGCAGUAUUUAUUGCUAAAUUAUUGUCCAGGAGGGGCGGCACUGGGCCGGGCCCUGGGUAUUUAUUGCUGUACAUAGUGUAUGUUUGUGAUAUAUAAGGUUUUCUUUAUUUUGUAUAUGAUCAAUAAACACCUUUUAA